rnacentral:tRNA from 1 species
GCCUAGAUAGCUUAGUUGGUAGUGCGUAAGCGCUGGGCCGCGGGUUCGAUUCCCGCCCGGGGCG